AUACGGAGGGGGCAAGCGUUGCUCGGAAUUACUGGGCGUAAAGCGCGCGUAGGCGGUCAGGCAAGUCAGAUGUGAAAGCCCUCGGCUCAACCGAGGAACUGCGUCUGAUACUGCUUGGCUUGAGUCCGGUAGGGGGUGGCGGAAUUCCCGGUGUAGCGGUGGAAUGCGUAGAUAUCGGGAGGAACACCGAUGGCGAAGGCGGCCACCUGGGCCGGUACUGACGCUGAGGCGCGAAAGCUAGGGGAGCAAACAGGAUUAGAUACCCUGGUAGUCCUAGCUGUAAACGAUGGGCACUUGAUGUCGGGGGUCUCUACCCCUCCGGCGUCGGAGCUAACGCGUUAAGUGCCCCGCCUGGGGAGUACGGUCGCAAGGCUGAA
rnacentral:rRNA from 1 species